rnacentral:rRNA from 1 species
UACGGGGGGAGCAAGCGUUGUUCGGAUUUACUGGGCGUAAAGGGCGCGUAGGCGGCACCGCAAGUCGACUGUGAAAUCUCCGGGCUUAACCCGGAAAGGUCAGCCGAUACUGCGGGGCUAGAGUGCAGAAGGGGCAACUGGAAUUCUCGGUGUAGCGGUGAAAUGCGUAGACAUCGAGAGGAACACCUGCGGCGAAGGCGGGUUGCUGGGCUGACACUGACGCUGAUGCGCGAAAGCGUGGGGAGCGAACAGG